rnacentral:tRNA from 1 species
GCGGGCGUAGCUCAGUUGGUAGAGCGUCUGCUUGCCAUGCAGAAGGUCGCCGGUUCGAGUCCGGUCGCCCGCU